GAUGAACGCUGGCGGCGUGCCUAAUACAUGCAAGUCGAGCGAACGGACGAGAAGCUUGCUUCUCUGAUGUUAGCGGCGGACGGGUGAGUAACACGUGGAUAACCUACCUAUAAGACUGGGAUAACUUCGGGAAACCGGAGCUAAUACCGGAUGAUAUUUUGAACCGCAUGGUUCAAAAGUGAAAGACGGUCUUGCUGUCACUUAUAGAUGGAUCCGCGCUGCAUUAGCUAGUUGGUAAGGUAACGGCUUACCAAGGCAACGAUGCAUAGCCGACGUGAGAGGGGGAUCGGCCACACGGGAAGUGAGCCAGGGUCAAGACUCCUACGGGAGGCAGCAGUAGGGAAUCUUCCGCAAUGGGCGAAAGCCUGACGGAGCAACGCCGCGUGAGUGAUGAAGGUCUUCGGAUCGUAAAACUCUGUUAUUAGGGAAGAACAUAUGUGUAAGUAACUGUGCACAUCUUGACGGUACCUAAUCAGAAAGCCACGGCUAACUACGUG
rnacentral:rRNA from 1 species